GAUGAAGAACGCAGCAAAAUGCGAUAAGUAAUGUGAAUUGCAGAAUUCAGUGAAUCAUCGAAUCUUUGAACGCACAUUGCGCCCGCCAGUAUUCUGGCGGGCAUGCCUGUCCGAGCGUCAUUUCAACCCUCGAACCCCUCCGGGGGGUCGGCGUUGGGGAUCGGCCCUUUACGGGGCCGGCCCCGAAAUACAGUGGCGGUCUCGCCGCAGCCUCUCCUGCGCAGUAGUUUGCACACUCGCAUCGGGAGCGCGGCGCGUCCACAGCCGUUAAACACCCCAAACUUCUGAAAUGUUGACCUCGGAUCAGGUAGGAAUACCCGCUGAACUUAAGCAUAUCAAUAAGCGGAGGA
rnacentral:misc_RNA from 1 species